GAUAUAGAGAAAUAGAGAAAGAAAGGAGUAUGAGAAACGACGAGACAGAGAGGGUGAGAGGAAAACGACUGGCAGCAAGCCAGAUUCUGCGUAUGUGCCCCUUACCCCUAUAUCAAGAAAUUUUAAAGCAAGGGGCACAUACGCACGGAAUGUUCGGGUCUCGCGAAAAAAUUUUCUACCGUUUCGGUGAUUUUUUCUGAAUUUCAUUGUUUUUGACUUCUUUCUAUCUUUUUAGAUUCUAUUUCAUUAUUGUUUACACCAUUUUCAUAAUUUUCUGUCGAUCUCGUAGGUGUAUUCGUUUCCGUGCCUGAAUUUAGGCUAAAACUGAUUCGAUUGAUAAACUUACAUUUC
ensembl:ncRNA C56C10.15 ncRNA